rnacentral:rRNA from 1 species
AUUGAACGCUGGCGGCAUGCCUUACACAUGCAAGUCGAACGGCAGCACGGGAGCAAUCCUGGUGGCGAGUGGCGAACGGGUGAGUAAUACAUCGGAACGUGCCCAGUAGUGGGGGAUAGCCCGGCGAAAGCCGGAUUAAUACCGCAUACGACCUAUGGGUGAAAGCGGGGGAUCGCAAGACCUCGCGCUAUUGGAGCGGCCGAUGUCAGAUUAGCUAGUUGGUGGGGUAAAGGCCUACCAAGGCGACGAUCUGUAGCUGGUCUGAGAGGACGACCAGCACCACGGGAACUGUGACACGGUCCAGACUCCUACGGGAGGCAGCAGUGGGGAAUUUUGGACAAUGGGGGCAACCCUGAUCCAGCAAUGCCGCGUGAGUGAAGAAGGCCUUCGGGUUGUAAAGCUCUUUUGUCAGGGAAGAAACGGUCGUGGCUAAUAUCCAUGGCUAAUGACGGUACCUGAAGAAUAAGCACCGGCUAACUACGUGCCAGCAGCCGCCGUAA